AUCUGUUCUGACACACUUUCCCCAUUUUUCAGUUUAUUUCACGGGCUCCUCCUCUCGUACAAUGCUUGUGGCACUCUGGGGUGUCAUUCUUUACUCGGCUCUAGGAAGAGAAAUUAAAUACAUUGUUGUAAGCCACUGAGAUUUAAUUGAAGACUUCCAUAAAACCUUCCCUCCACUGAGUGCCCUUCCUUCAGCUUUAAUGAGAAAACACCCUGCUGGAACCCCCAAGGGAGGAAACUGUCACUUGCCUGAGCUCUUAAUGACUCUGGAAGAACUAGAGACACUGGUGGUCUUUGUCUUUGUUCCACCAAUUGCUCCCUGCAGUGAGACCCCACCUUGAACUUCAGCCCGGGCUCCCUGAACUGCUCCCCUUCCACCAUGUCCAUUGGACUUUUUAAGCUAAAUAUGUUGUAUUCAUCCAAUCAAUUAAUACACCUGCUGACCCUUGCCAAACUAGUCUUUAUAUUUAUGACCUGACAAAACACUAUUUCCUCUUUUGUAAAGCUAAAGAUAUCUGGAUAUGGAAGGGGAUUUUCAAGCACCUGUGAUGUGUUUCAAUUUGUGUGGAUAGCAAGAAGUUAAAGUGAGAAGUGGUCUCUCUCCUUCGCUGAUUGGCCAGCAUUUCCAUUGUGGCUUACCAGAAAAUAAUGCACCACACUUUUACAGCUCUGCUGCCUUGAGAGAGGAGCCAGAAGAGAAGCAUUUUAAGAGCAUUGAGCAGUUAUUCACUCCAACCAUGAGCCUCUAUUAAGCUCCCACUCUGAAAACCGCUGUUUAUGUGAAGUAUGGUUAUUUCCAGAGGAGAAAAGGAGUCAUUUACUUCACAAAGCUUAUGGAGUGCUGUGGAAGGUGAGGGCCUUGCAUUGAUUAAGCACCUACUGUGAUGGUUAAUACUGUCAACUUGACGGGAUUUAGCAUCACCAUGGGAACACAGCUGUGGGGGGAGGGGGACGGAUUAGGUGAACUGAAGUGGAAAGGCCUACCCUGACAGUGGGCAGCACCAUGGGCUGGGUCCUAAACCGCAUGGGAAGAAGGAAGUCGGCUGGCUACCAGCAUGCAUCUCUCUGUGCUUCUUGACUGUAGAUGCGAUGUAACCAGCUGCCUCACCCCCCUGCCACAG